rnacentral:tRNA from 1 species
AAGUCCCCCGAGCCGCAGCUUCUAACUGCGGCAGAGUAUAUAAAAUACUGGGAUUUU